rnacentral:tRNA from 1 species
AGUACUGUGCCGGACAAAACGGAUAACCUUGAUGAGGUUAAUUAUAAGCACAGCUUCAGUACUU